UACGAAGGGGGCUAGCGUUGCUCGGAAUCACUGGGCGUAAAGGGUGCGUAGGCGGGAUCUUAAGUCAGAGGUGAAAGCCUGGAGCUCAACUCCAGAACUGCCUUUGAUACUGGGAUUCUUGAGUUCGGAAGAGGUAGGUGGAACUGCGAGUGUAGAGGUGAAAUUCGUAGAUAUUCGCAAGAACACCAGUGGCGAAGGCGGCCUACUGGUCCGAUACUGACGCUGAGGCACGAAAGCGCUGGGGAGCAAACAGG
rnacentral:rRNA from 1 species